rnacentral:rRNA from 1 species
UAACACAUGCAAGUCGAGCGGCAGCAGGCCCUUCGGGGUGCUGGCGAGCGGCGGACGGGUGAGUAACGCGUGGGAAUCUACCCUUCGGUGGGGGAUAGCCCGGGGAAACCCGGAUUAAUACCGCAUACGCCCUACGGGGGAAAGCGGCCCUCUGAUACAAGGUCGCGCCGAUGGAUGAGCCCGCGUUUGAUUAGCUUGUUGGUGGGGUAAAGGCCUACCAAGGCGACGAUCAGUAGUUGGUCUGAGAGGACGGUCAGCCACACUGGGACUGAGACACGGCCCAGACUCCUACGGGAGGCAGCAGUGGGGAAUUCGCCCGCCGCGCCCAGC